rnacentral:rRNA from 1 species
CUACGGUUGCACCAGUGAGGAAUAUUGCACAAUGGAGGAAACUCUGAUGCAGCAACGCCGCGUGGAGGAUGACGCAUUUCGGUGUGUAAACUCCUUUUAUGAGUCAAGAAAAUGACGGUAGCUCAUGAAUAAGCACCGGCUAACUCCGUGCCAGCAGCCGCGGUAAUACGGAGGGUGCAAGCGUUACUCGGAAUCACUGGGCGUAAAGGACGCGUAGGCGGGAUAUCAAGUCAGGUGUGAAAUCCUACAGCUUAACUGUAGAGCUGCACUUGAAACUGGUAACCUAGAGUAUGGGAGGGGGAGAUGGAAUUAGUGGUGUAGGGGUAAAAUCCGUAGAUAUCACUAGGAAUACCUAAAGCGAAGGCGAUCUCCUGGAACAUAACUGACGCUAAGGCGUGAAAGCGUGGGGAGCAAACAGGAUUAGAUACCCUUGUAGUC